CCACGAUUCUGCUGACAGUGCCUGCAGAUUUCUACUGAAACCUGGGCAAGGGAUUUUCUCCAGAUCAAGAUUUACAAGAGGAUAUCAUAGAGGUUGGAACUAGUGUCCUGCAACAUGGUGAUGACCACGUGGCUGUGCAGCCUUCUGUGAAGAGGAUGGUUGAGUGUGGUUUCCUCAAGCCACCCUGUGCCCUUGGAAAAGUCCCACUUUCUUCUGAAUAUGAGGAAAAUGGAAUACCAUCAGCUGAAGAUCUUCCUAACCAACCCUACUUCUAUCCUCAGUGCAAAGGAAAAAGGAAGCUUCCUUCAAAGCAAAAUCCUUCCAAAAAGAAGCCACAGAUAAUCUUUAUUUCCAUUACCCUUCUGCUCCUUCGAAGAGCAGGCAAUUGAAACAAAAAUCUUCACUGCAACAUGAAAGAGAGGUAUCUCAAGAAAAUCAAAUCUGCAUCUUGUAA